rnacentral:misc_RNA from 1 species
GGGACAAGGAGACUCCACUCCAAGAGUUUUUAGUAGGAAGUUCCUUUCCUGAAAAAAGGCCAAAAGAGAGAGAGAGAGGUUAGUCAGGCAUCAAAGUUUCAGAAAUUUUAUGUACAUGUAAGUUUGUAUGUAUAUAAGAUGCUAGCACAUGGACGCCAAUGCUAGCAACUUAUGAAAGACAACUAUAAUUGCAGUUGGCCUUUAGCAUCAUGUGAUCAGUAUUUUGAUUGUAGAACUGAAAAAUGCGAGACAGUGUAUCGAGAAGGGCAGCACAUGCAGAUACCUUAACAUGAUUUGAAACAGGAUAUUUUUAUCCUUUAACAAAUUUUGUUCAAUCUAAAUUCACUGGCCGGAGGAACUAAGAGUAAACAAUCAUGUAACCUUUAGUAUCCAUCAUUAACAAUUUGAUAGGCAAACCAUAGAACCAUACUUGAUUUCUGAGAAGGUUUACAUAAAGUUAGACAAAUCUAGUGAAUGGUGAUAGCAGUUAUGACAAAUGAGAACUAAUUCUUAUAUUGUUUUGCUGGUUAUUCACAUAGAAAACCUUGAGCAGUUUAGUGAAGUUUUGGGUUUUUUUGAUCUACUUCUUAUAAGCCAUGCUAUACACUUACGCUAUGCAGACAAGUGUUUGUUUAAUUGCUUGGUUAAUCAAAAGAAUUGGAUGAUUGGGCCGACAGAAAGGUAAAAUUGAAUGUAAGAUCCAAAAAAAUGAGUUAAUGGCCACAAAUAGACCCACAUUAUGUAAUAAUCUAAAAAUUGCGUCAGGUAUGAUUGUUCUUUGUCUCCUACUUGUUCUCUAUGGAAUACUGAAAUUUGGAUUGUAUGAUUAUUUGGAUUCUUAAGUUGAAUAUUUGCAUAUAUAGAUAUUAAGCAUAAUUCUCAGCUUCUUUCGUCCUUGACUCUGAUAACAUUUCUAGCCACUUUGAUUUAUGUUAACCUUCGCAAGUUUACAGGGGAUGACAGAUGUAGACAUGGAACACAAAUUUACCCUGUAACUUAUUAGACUUUGACUUCAGGCUUAAAAUUAAAUUAGGUGACUCCAGGAGUGGAAUGGAUCACCAUAUACAUAUUUUAGGUUAGUAAUGUCUAGGAUAAAGUUCCUAGAUUGCAAUGUAACUAGAAUUUAAUUAUUUUAGACUGAAAUGGUCGUAAGAGCAGCAGCUAAUGCUGUUAUGUUUCAUCUACACAAUCAAACAUUACCUGCAGACAUGUGGUCCUACUAACACAAUUCCUAGUGGCUUAAUUACAACUAAUUUCAAAGUCAUGAUGAUGGCUUGAUUAUCAGUAUAAAAAGCCCAUCUAAUGGUUGACAGAUAGCAUACUUAACUGUUAUUUCAUUGUCCCAUAUGCUGCAUCAUCUAUACCACUCAUCAAUGGAGAAAAUUCAGAAGUUUGACAAUAGAGUUGAUUGUUAACGUUCUUAUCUACUUCUUAGUGAGACAAUUAUUAAGCUCAUAAAGGCCUGAUAAUACACCAGCAACAACUGCUGCUGAUGACUUGACAAUCAAUGGUUCACUUCCUGGUACUGUAAUCACUACAGUCAUGAGUCAUGACCCAGGUAUGAGCAAGUAGUAGCACUUCUAUCAUCUAUGAUUAUCUGCUGCUGGUACACUUAUAGUUAAUAAGCUCAGCACUACUAUUUAUCUCAAUGAUCUGGAAAGUCCAGAAAUCCUACUAGUGUGAAUUAAGUACUUUACUACUAUUUGUUGCUAAUACCACCACUGCUACUAUUACUAUUACUAGUCUACUACUGCCACCACUAAUAGUAACAAGGUGAAAGUUCACAAGCCUUGUUAACUAUGGCCAAUUUUAAUCUGGUAAGAUCAAUGGUUUGAGUUAACUUACACUUUCUGAAAAUUUUGGGCUGG